AAGAAGCAAGGGAUGAAGGAGAAGUAAAUACCCGGAAAACCCCGAAAAAACAGAUUGAAUACCAGGAAAGAUCAGAUGCGGAUAAAAAAAAGUCUGUUUGAAAGGGGAGAAACGAAAGACGAAAUUUCCUAAGAGAAGAAGAAUCGGGUCGACAUAAACACUUUUUCGGUUAAAAUAGUAUAAUGAGAAAGCAUCUGUUCACGUUCAUAGUUGCAAUAACUUUUCUUUUUUCAAUCUAGAUUUUGAGCCAAUCCGGUAUCGUAUCACCGCCUGACAAGUUUGACAGGCUUUCCAUGUGCUUUGGGAUGCCUUUUGAUCCGGGUCUCCGGUAGGAGAGAGGGUAGAAGAAUCAAU
rnacentral:lncRNA from 1 species